CUCACCUCACGCGGCCCGGCGUGGGCAGCGCGGACGGCGCCGGGACCCUUGGCGCUGCCCGGCGCGCUGGGGCGGCUGGGAUCUACGUGUCCCCCGGGGGCUGGGAGUCCUGUCUGGCUCCCACCGUGCGUGCCCAGCAGAGAAAAGACCCUCUGGGAGCGUGUGCCAAGCGCCGCGUGCGUCGCGGGCUGACCCUCGCCGCUCACCCCGAUGGAAGCGAAGCAGGAACUGACGAAGAUGUGCACAUGCCCCUGACAGCCGGAGUUUGGAGGGGAAGGCUUGGGAUCAGUGAGGUGGAGUCGCCAGGCUGUGUGCACGUCAGAAGCCGGAGGAACUGUGUAAAACAACCAUUCCUGGAAUAUCUGGAUCAGCAGGUCCGAGGUGCAGCUCGUGCAUCUUCCUUCUAACAGAGGCUUCUGGCGCUCAUGACGUCAGCGCUGUGGUCAGCAUAGCAACACCCUCUGGAGGCUUCAAAGUUCAAGGUCAACUCAUCCAGUGACCGUUUCUGCUGUGUCAUCCUACAAGAGCAAGUGGAAGGGCAGAGGAGAGAGAGAUGGAGAGGCGGAGACACGACAGAGAGAGAAAGGAAAGGAAGCUGCACGUAAUCCAUGCUUUCAUCAGGAACCACUUAGGAAUCCACUCCUGAGGACCGCCCGACCACCAUGUCCCACUGAGGAUGAAGCUGCCAAUGCAUGGAUUUGGGGGGACUCAUUCAAACCCUAGCAAAGGAGGAUGGGGGUGAGGAUUUGCCAAGGAAAUCAAUUAGAGAGGCCUGGAGGAGAAAUGUGUUCCUCACUUAUUCCAGGCAGUUUGGCCUCCUGGAGACUGGGAAAGAGGCAGAGGAGGUGUGGAGUGGGCUGAGCUACAGCCUGCCAAGUGGGGAAUGAUGAGGAAAUAGCCGUUCAUUGAAUGUGCGCUAUGUUGUCCACUCUGAGCUAUGUGUUUCUCCUGCACCUGCUGAUUUGUGGCCACAUCAGGGUUCCAGGAGACAGGUACUAGUAUGGCCUUCUCUUUUAUAGAUGCAGAAAUUGAAGCUCAAAGAGGUACAGCCAUCUGUCCAAGGCCACACAACUAGCCAGGAUUUGCACUCAGUUCUGUGUAGUAACAGACCUCAUGCAGAUAACAUGGACUCUGCAUGGAGGCUCCAGGUAGACAGCAGAGGUCCAAGAGGGUCCAGGAUGUGUUCACAAGGCUGUUCCCCAAGGUCAGUGCAGCAAGGAGGUUCCAGGCCUGGAGCCAGGUGCCACCUUGCCUGCUUGAGUUCAAGGUCGGCUCACCUGUGUGACUUGUAGCAAGGUACUUAACCCUUCUCUGCCUCUGUUUUUUGUUCUAUUUUCCUCACAAUGACUGAAGAUCAGAAAGGAAAGAGGGGGCUGGCAUGGGUAAAGCCACUACCUGUGAUGCCAACAUCCCAUAUGGGCACUGGUUCAUGUCUUGGCUGUUCCACGUCUGAUCCAGCUCCCUGCUAAUGGUCUGGGUGCACAUUAGCAGGAAGCUGGAAGAAAAGCAGAGCCAGGACCCAAACCCAGGCACUCUGAUAUGGGAUGCCGGUAUCCCAAGUGGCAACUUAACAAAUGAGCCAAAUGCUUGCCCUUCUGCACUCUUUUCCAACAAGGGAAAGUCUUUGGCAUGGGUGUCGUGGUACAGCAGGUUAUGCCACUGCUUGGGACGUCCAUUUCCCAUAUGACAGUGUCUGGAACUGAGUCCUGCCUCACCUUCACAUCCAGCUACCUGCCAAUGCACAGUCUGGGAGGCAGCAGAUGAUGGCUCAAGUACUUGGGUCCCUGUCACCCACGUGGAAGACCCUGAUGGAGUCUUGGCUCCCGGCUCAGCCUGUCUCAGUCCUGGCUGUUGCAGACAACUGGAGAGUGAACCAGUGGAUGAAAGAUGCCUCUCUCUCUCUCCCUCUCUCUCUCUUUCUCUCUGCCUUUCACAUAAAUAAAAAUAAGUAAACUUUUUAAAAAAGAGUGAAAAAGUCCUUGUUCUGUGGACACGUGAUUUCAUUAUAAAAACCAUACAAAACAGAUUUAUCUAAUCCCGCCAGAGUAUCAAAUAUUCUGUCCACUUGCUGGGCAGAGAAAAUGGCUAGACCUUGGACGUGGCAUCUGGCCAGGCCUCUUCCCAACUGUCGGACCUUGAGGAAGUCACUUUGUGUCCCUUCAGUUGCACUUGCUUUCCUCCAGAAACAACCAUACCUGUGUCUCACCAUCUUGUGAGCUUGAGCUGGAAUGAUGCGUGGGCAACAGUUCACGCAGUGGCUAAUAGAUGGGUGAGUACUUCAAAAAAUAAUAGCCAUUUCUGUUCUUAGGAUUGGAUAUGGUACAACAAGACUGCAGAUCAAGACAGCUGCUGUAGGCUGGGGCUGUGGCAUAUAAGGUAAAGUUGUGGUGCUGGUGCUGUGGCAAGGCGAGUUAAAGCCCCAGCCUGCAGAGCUGUAUCCCAUAUGGAUGCCGGUUUGAGUCUCAGCUGCUCCUCUUCUGACCAGCUCUCUGCUAUGGCCAGGGAAAGCAGUGAAAGAUGGCCCACGUCCCUGGGCCCUGUACCCCUGUGGGAGACCUGGAAUAAACUCCUGGCUCCUGGCUUCGGAUCAUCUCAGUUCUAUCCAAUGUGGUCAUUUGGGGAGUGAACCAGCAGAAUGGAAGAUCUCUCUCUGGCUCUACCUCUCUGUAACUCCAUCUUUCAAAUAAAUAAAAAUUUUAAAAAAUUGCAGCCUGUUGUGCCGGCAUUCCGUAUGGGCACUGGUUUGAGUCCUGGCUGCUCUA